UGAGGAAUAUUGGUCAAUGGACGGAAGUCUGAACCAGCCAUGCCGCGUGCAGGAAGAAUGCGCUAUGCGUUGUAAACUGCUUUUGUAUCAGGGUAAAUUUAGAUACGUGUAUCUAAUUGAAAGUAUGAUACGAAUAAGGAUCGGCUAACUCCGUGCCAGCAGCCGCGGUAAUACGGAGGAUUCGAGCGUUAUCCGGAUUUAUUGGGUUUAAAGGGUGCGUAGGCGGAUUUUUAAGUCAGUCGUUAAAUCGUGUGGCUCAACCACAUCAAGGCGAUUGAUACUGGAGAUCUAGAGAUUAUGUGCAGCGGGCGGAAUGAGUAGUGUAGCGGUGAAAUGCUUAGAUAUUACUCAGAACCCCGAUUGCGAAGGCAGCUCGCUAACAUAUAUCUGACGCUGAGGCACGAAAGCGUGGGGAUCAAACA
rnacentral:rRNA from 1 species